UACAAUGUGAUAGUGACGUACGUAAGUAGCAUUAGACUGAAGAUGCGACGAUAAGCGGCGCGGAAACAGGCGAGGGCGCGGGGCGUGCGGGAGGCAGCGCGCGCGCAGCCGAGUGGCCGCUAAGACCCCGCCCCGCGAGGACCACCGGGAGAGCUAGGCGGUGCGGAGCCCCGCCGACCAUCGUCAGCGUUUGAAUCAGCACUUAGAACGAACAGUAAAUUUGUAAAAAGCAAAUGGAUGUAUUUGUGAUGAGAUAAAAUUGUUGAACGAGUUAAACGUGUUAAUGCAAGAAAAACACUGUUUACAACGUGUCGAACAUUAACAACAUAUGGAAAUCAAGAUCUGAAAACCUGACAUCGAUCAACUUGAAAA